AUAGUAUAUUAGCUGGAUAGAGGGAGGGAGUGGAGAGAGACGUCUUUCGACUGCCGUCGAUGUGACUCCCAAGGGGAGCUCUGAGAUGGCCAAAUGCGAGCGAGGCGACGCCGGAUCCCUGGCCGCGGCCGGAGGAUUCCGCCUGUGGGCGGUCUUCUCUGCGGCCGUGUCCCGCCGGAAGCUGCUGGAGGCCAUGAUAUGCGGCGUCUCCACGCACCGGCGGAAGGGAGGCGCCACCUUCGGGUCGCCGAAGCAGCGGCCGAGGAACCGGUCGGAGCGGCUAGCGGAGCUGCUGCGAGCGGAGGUCUCGGUGGCCGGCUCCGACGAGGUGGAGGCGGAGACGAGGCGGAGGAUCGUGGUCUUCGAGGAGCUCCAGCGCGUGGUGGGGAGGCUCCAGUUCGGCGGCGGGGACAAUGUGGGAGGGGAUCGAAGAAAGGAGGCCGCGGCGGAGGUGCGGCGGCUCGCCAAGGACGACGCGGAGGCGAGGAAGACGCUGGCGAUGCUUGGCGCCAUCCCUCCCCUGGUGGGAAUGCUCGAUUCCCCGGAUAUUGGCUUCCAGAUCUCGGCGCUCUACGCCCUUCUUAAUCUGGGGAUCGGAAAUGACUCGAACAAGGCCGCUGUAGUGAAGUUCGGAGCUGUGCACAAAAUGCUGAGCCUGAUCGAAUCGGGGAGCUCCCCGUCGGUGUCCGAAGCGAUCGUCGCGAAUUUCCUUGGCCUCAGCGCUCUGGAUUCCAACAAGCCGAUCAUUGGCUCCUCCGGCGCGAUACCAUUCCUCGUGAGGGCUUUCAAGAACCCUAGCGCCAACGCCGGGGGUGGAGGCUCCUCUCAGGCGAGGCAUGACGCACUCCGGGCGCUCUUCAACCUCUCCAUUGCCACCGCCAACACCCCCUACCUCAUCGACGCCGACAUCAUCCCCUGCCUCCUGGCGGCGGUCAGCGACAUGGAGGUGAGCGAGCGGGUGCUUUCGGUGAUCUCCAACCUCGUCGCCGCACCCGAGGGGCGGCGGGCGGUGAGCCAAUCGCGGGACGCGUUCCCGAUGUUGGUGGACGUCCUCAACUGGUCGGACGCCCCGGGGUGCCAGGAGAAGGCGGCGUACGUACUAAUGGUGAUGGCCCACAAGGCCUACGGCGACUGGGCGGCCAUGAUCGAGGCCGGUAUCAUGUCCUCCCUCCUCGAGCUCACGCUCCUUGGGAGCCCCCUGGCCCAGAAGAGAGCGUCGAGGAUUCUUGAAAUCCUGAGGGUGGACAAGGGGAAGCAGGUCUCGGAAGGGUUCGGCGAGGGGGGAGGAGGAGGGUGCUGCGGAGUGCCGGCGGUGUCGGCGCCGCUCGUCGGAGGGGCGGCUGAGGGGGAGGAGGACGAGGAGGCGGGGAUGAGCGAGGAGAGGAGAGCGGUGAAGCAAUUGGUGCAGCAGAGCUUGCAGAGCAACAUGAGGAGGAUCGUGAGGCGGGCGAAUCUUCCGCAGGAUUUCGCGCCAUCGGAUCACUUGAAGUCGCUCACCGCCUCCUCCACUUCCAAGAGCUGGCCCUUCCAGUCUAGAAAUAAGAGGUAAUUUUGAAGAAUGGAAGGUUAUAUUCUUUCUUUGUUUUACUUCUCAUUUUCGUCGUAUUCACAUUUUUGUCUCCUCUGUGCUCCCAAAAUGAGGCCUCCUUCCCAAAACUACCACGGUAGUUUUACUCUAGAAUAUAUAUGCUAUUGCUACAAGUGAUGAGUGGCUUUGGUUCUCGAGUUCUUCCUUUGCACAGGACUUUCUUUUGUCAUGUGGCCAACAACCGGGGCCUUUUACGUCAUUGGGUGAGUAACGAAGUGUUGGCCGUUUUCUCAGUUUUGCAUCUCCACGGCCGAAUGGCAGACCAGAGCCCGAUCUCCUCUCUGUAACUGGCUUUAGUUCCCAGCUUGUAAUAUAUAUAUAUAUAUGUAUGUAUGUAUGUAUGUAUGUAUGUAUGUAUGUAUGUAUAAUACUUUAACCGUAACUAUGAUUUUGAGCAACGGCUGUUAUGAUGUUACGUUAGAGGUUUCAACAUGUUGCACUAUGGCCGUUAUUUUGAUAUUUUGUACUGUUUUUGGAGUAGGUAUUUAUCUAUUUUGGUGUGUAGUUGAUAUACAGAUGCUUUCAUUCAUCUAUUUGCAACGGUUUUGUGAAAAAAAUGCAGUAGUUUUGCUGUAAUUACUAGUUAUUUCUUAUUAUAAGUGAUGACAUUGACUAAAAAUUUCAAAAGCUGGACUGGGAAAAUGAUGGCCAAGUGCUGUUUCCAUAGUAACCGCCGUGAACGGUAGCCUUGGCGCCUUUAUAGCGAGGUAACAGCGUUAUUUUGAAAGAAAGAGGUAACGGCGUCAUGGAAACCCUGCAUAUCUUAUGGAUCUUGGACCCUUGGUUACCGUGACGAGUUGGGAAUCUUUGGGUCUUCGGGAAAUGGCUUAUUAGAGUUCCCAAAAAAUAAAGGGAGGAUGGCUGGAUCUUACGGCUGUACUCCUAAUCUCUUUCUAGAACACAUGGGGGCGAGAGAGAGAGAGAGAGAGAUGCCAUGCAUAAAGAAAUCCACGGAGGGAGGAGGGAAUGCCAAGGGAGAAACUUGGACUUGAAAAGCCCUCUCGAGCUUUCGUUAUCGUCUCUAGGUAACGGUCUUGUAUAGCCAGUCUCUCUGCCUUUUUGUGGCCGUUUGUUUCGAUCUGUCUUUAGGAAUAUAUCUUCUUGUGAAUUUAAUGAUAACGAUUGUUAGAUUGUAUGAGAGAAGAGAGAGUGGAUAUACAAGGAGUUAUUGUUGAAUGUUGAAUGAACUAUCUUCGUUG